GAACCAGAAUAGUGCUGAGUCAUUUCUUCUGGCUUCAAGAUUCCCCUGGAAGGAGGCUCUGGAUGCUUGGCCCAGGAGUAGGCCACCGGUCUUGUUUGGGAGUAGAGAAGGAAAGCCCAGUGAGGUCCAAUCUCAAUUGGGUUACAAUAUUCUAUUGCAGAAAAUGGCAAGCCACCUAGCUUCAACUCUGCUUGUCCUUUAUUUGCUCUGGCUGACCACUGUGUUCUUCUUAUUCCUUUAAGAGGGAAACAUGCUGAGACAGAUAUUUUCCAGAAAACUUGCUCUGAGUUAAUGCCCAAGAAGAGAAGAAAUGAUUUGAACAGCUAAAUAUGUGAGACCUUGUGUCAGGCUUUUUCGAGUUGAUCUCUCAAUUUGACAAAAUGUACAUCUUUGUAGAACUAAAAAGUUCAAUAGCUGCUUUGGUGUGUGUUUAGUUUGAUUUAGUCCCAGUUUCUGCUUUUCUUUCUAGACUCUCUCUGAUGUUUUUCAACCUUAGCCAUGUCUUUUCAUUCCUGUCAUUCUCUUCUAU
ensembl:lncRNA